CCUACGGGCGGCAGCAGUGGGGGAUAUUGCACAAUGGGGGAAACCCUGAUGCAGCGACGCCGCGUGUGGGAAGACGGUCCUCUGGAUUGUAAACCACUGUCCCCAGGGACGAAGAUGACGGUACCUGGGGAGGAAGCUCCGGCUAACUACGUGCCAGCAGCCGCGGUAAUACGUAGGGAGCGAGCGUUGUCCGGAAUUACUGGGUGUAAAGGGAGCGUAGGCGGGACUGCAAGUUGGUUGUCAAAUCUACCGGCUCAACCGGUAGCCGCACUCAAAACUGCUAUACUUGAGUGCAGUAGAGGAAAGUGGAAUUCGUAGUGUAGCGGUGGAAUGCGUAGAUAUUAGGAGGAACAUCAGUGGCGAAGGCGACUUUCUGGACUGUAACUGACGCUGAGGCACGAAAGUGUGGGGAGCAAACAGGAUUAGAUACCCGGGUAGUC
rnacentral:rRNA from 1 species